UCGUCGUAUGUUAUAUGUGUCAUACGAGACUGCCGGUAAAAGCCGGAGGAAGGUGAGGAUGAUGUCAAGUCAGCAUGACCUUUAUAUCCCAGGGCUACACACACGCUACAAUGGUCUGUACAAUGGGUAGCCAAGCCGCGAGGCGGAGCCAAUCCUGAAAGCAGGCCUCAGUCCGGAUUGGAGUCUGCAACUCGACUCCAUGAAGUUGGAAUCGCUAGUAAUCGCAGAUCAGCACGCUGCGGUGAAUACGUUCCCGGGCUUU
rnacentral:rRNA from 1 species